GAUGAACGCUAGCGAUAGGCCUAACACAUGCAAGUCGAGGGGCAGCAUAAGGAAGUAGCAAUACUUUCUGGUGGCGACCGGCGCACGGGUGAGUAACACGUAUGCAACCUGCCUUCAACAAGGGCAUAACCCGUUGAAAGACGGACUAAUACCCUAUAAUACAGGGGCCCCGCAUGGGGAUAUUUGUUAAAGAUUUAUCGGUUGAAGAUGGGCAUGCGUUCCAUUAGCUGGUUGGUGGGUAACGGCCCACCAAGGCAACGAUGGAUAGGGGAACUGAGAGGUUUAUCCCCCACACUGGUACUGAGACACGGACCAGACUCCUACGGGAGGCAGCAGUGAGGAAUAUUGGUCAAUGGACGCAAGUCUGAACCAGCCACGUCGCGUGAAGGAAGACGGCCCUAGGGUUGUAAACUUCUUUUGUAAGGGAAUAAAGUGUAGUACGCGUACUAUUUUGCAUGUACCUUACGAAUAAGGAUCGGCUAACUCCGUGCCAGCAGCCG
rnacentral:rRNA from 1 species